UAAAAUUUUUCUUGCAUAUUUUUUUAAAAUGUGUAAAAAAAAUCUUGUAUUCAAAACCCACACUCUUUAAAACCCAUAAUAAAAAAAUUUUUAUGUUAUAUACAUGAAAUUUUUUUAUUUAAAAAUAAUAUAAUAAAAAGA
rnacentral:misc_RNA from 1 species